AGCCAGAAGCCCACAUGGAAUCCAUCAAGUAGUUAAUGCAGAAGCCCAUAUUGAAUAUUGCAAGGUUAACUUCGCAGAAAUGAAGGAAAAGCAACAGAGAAAGCAUUGAAAGGAGGUCAUCAUAGCAAGAGCACCAACAAUGCACGACAAUAUAAUCCAUUGCAGAGAUGACUAGCAAACAAAUGCCUAAGCCAU